CUGUGUCUUUGAUGUAAGUCGCUCUGGAUAAGAGCGUCUGCUAAAUGACUUAAA
rfam:Salmo salar isolate Sally breed double haploid chromosome ssa27, whole genome shotgun sequence.